rnacentral:misc_RNA from 1 species
ACAGCACAGUAUUAACCUUGAACUUGUUGUACAACAUGACUGGAUAAAAUUGCCGGUUCUAGUGAGGAUUCAAUGCUUAUAUUAACAGGCACGCAUAAAUCACAAAUGCACAAUAGUAAAGUAGGCAUGCAACACAAUCAUAAAGAAAAGUGUGAACCUAGGGAUAGACACCUGAUUACAUUAAGCAUAAAGUACACACAUGAAGUAAUUGUCUGACAAACUACCAAUCUACAGAGGAGCUAUCUUUCAUAUGAUGCAAAAUUCCGGUCCUUCGCACAUGCUCACAAAAGGUUCAAGCAUAAAAUGGGAAGAAGGCAGACGCAUACAACACAUGAGAUAAAGGAAAAGCCAUAAGAUACAUCCUCCAACUUUAUGUAGAAGAGGACAAAA